rnacentral:tRNA from 1 species
GCGGGAAUGGCGGAACUGGCAGACGCACUUGAUUUAGAAUCAAGAUACUAAGGGUUCGAAUCCCUUUUCCCGUACAA